rnacentral:lncRNA from 1 species
UUUCUUUUAAUCUCAUUGUCCAUCAAAGAUGCUUGAUUGAAGGAGGGAGCUGUGAUAGCUAUUCUCAGUUGUCAAGUUGACUAUAUCUGGCAUGAACUACAAUCUAGACAUGGAGGGCACACUUGUGAUCAGAUCUUGAAGCAGGAAGACACACAUUUUUGAUCCAGAUUUUGAGGUGGAAUAACACAAUCUUUUGAUCCAGAUAGAAUCUCGCCUUUUUAAUCCAGGCCUUGAGGCACACCUUUAAUCUGAGCCAUACCUACUGCUGGAGGCCUACAUAAGGAAAAUGGAAGAAGGAAGUUAUUUAUUCUUUACCUGCUUGAAUUCACUUUGCCAGCACAUCCAUUGGCGCCUACUUCUUCAGGAUUCCAGUUUAUACCGAAGAGCAGCUGAGACACCCAGCCAGCCCUGAGGGACUCAGCAGGUAGGACAACAAAACCCCCAAAUGGACAAGAUCCUCCAUUGUGUGUGGAUUCAUCACAAGAAAGCUCAGAACAGAAUAGUUUUCCUACAGGCUGAGUGAGCCUCCUGCCUAGUUCCAGGGCUGUUAGUGGAGCAAUGGGAUGCGAAAUCUCAGGACGCCUUGACAAUGCAGGAAGACCAGUGCUGGGCCUGGUUUCAUCUGGGAGAACGGUGCUAUGAGCACGGGAAGAAAGCAGGUCUUGGGUUCUUCUCCAGAGAGAAGCUGUGAUGGGUAGAGGGGCAGAGGGGCAGAGGUAUGUAUACAGUGGGCCAGGACGGGCUCACCUGCAGAGCAUGUCUUGGCUUAGUGUUUCCCACUAUCCAGCUGUUCACAUGCCACUCAGCAGUUGUUCUAGAGCCUCCCCCAUCCCCCAUGCUGGUUCUGAGCUCUCAGGGCACUCUGCUGUCGGUGCCUGCAGGCCCUGGGUUCCUUCACCCCUAUGGAGUAGUCAGCGCUGCUACACUCUCCCACGGGCUCCGGAUGGUUCUUGAGAUUAAGCAUCUCCAUCACCUCUGGCCUUUCAGCCAGCCAGGCAAUUGUUCAACACGUGAAUCAACGAAUCCCUCAUGAAUAUGAAAGUGGCCAAUGCAGAGACACUAGAAUUUGGUGGGUAGGAAGCAACUGUCUGUGCUGAUCAAGAAGAUGUGAGGACUGUUUGUUUCUCUUUCUCUGAACUUUUUUGUUUCUCUUUCUCUGAACUUUUUUUGUUUCUCACUGCUAUUAUUGUUGCACAGGGUGUCAUGUACCUCAGGCCGAAAACUUACUAUGUAACCAAAGGUGACUUUGAACUUCUUCAUCCCUCCACCUUCCAAGUGUUGGGAUUAUAAAUAUGUGCCACCAUGUUCAGAUUUAAGUGGGAUUGGAGUUCCAAUGCAGGGCUUAUAAAUGCCAGACGAACAAUUUAACA